CAGGUCACUCCUACGGGAGGCAGCAGUGGGGAAUAUUGGACAAUGGGGGCAACCCUGAUCCAGCAAUGCCGCGUGAGUGAUGAAGGCCUUCGGGUUGUAAAGCUCUUUUGGCGGGGACGAUGAUGACGGUACCCGCAGAAUAAGCCCCGGCUAACUUCGUGCCAGCAGCCGCGGUAAUACGAAGGGGGCUAGCGUUGUUCGGAAUUACUGGGCGUAAAGGGCGCGUAGGCGGUCCUGAUCGUCGGAUGUGAAAGGCCUGGGCUCAACCUGGGAACUGCAUCCGAUACGGCGGGACUGGAGUGUGGGAGAGGUUGGUGGAAUUCCCAGUGUAGAGGUGAAAUUCGUAGAUAUUGGGAAGAACACCGGUGGCGAAGGCGGCCAACUGGACCACAACUGACGCUGAGGCGCGAAAGCGUGGGGAGCAAACAGGAUUAGAUACCCUGGUAGUCCACGCUGUAAACGAUGCGUGCUAGACGUUGGGAGCCCUAGGCUCUCGGUGUCGUCGCUAACGCUUUAAGCACACCGCCUGGGGAGUACGGUCGCAAGAUUAAAACUCAAAGGAAUGACG
rnacentral:rRNA from 1 species